rnacentral:rRNA from 1 species
GAUGAACGCUGGCGGCGUGCUUAAUACAUGCAAGUCGAGCGAACGGACGAGACGCUUGCUUUUCUGAUGUUAGCGGCGCACGGGUGAGUAACACGUGUAUCACCUACCUAUAAGACUGGGAUAACUUCGGGAAACCGGAGCUUAUACCGUAUAAUAUUUUGCACCGCAUGGUUCAAAAGUGAAAGACGGUCUUGCUGUCACUUCUAGAUGGAUCCGCGCUGCAUUAGCUAGUUGGUAAGUUAACGGCUUACCAAGGCAACGAUGCGUCACCGACCUGAGAGGGUGGUCGGCCACCCUGGAACUGGGACGCGGUCCUGACUCCUACGGGAGGCAGCAGUAGGGAAUCUUACGCAGUGGGCGGGAGCCUGACGGAGCGACGCCGCGUGAGUGAUGACGGUCUUCCGAUCGUAAAGCUCUGUUAUUGGGGAUAAACAGAUGUGGAAGUAGAUGUGGACAGCGUGACGGUACCUGGUCAGAAAGCACCGGCUAACUACGUG